GAUGUGUAUACUGAAGCCAAUCCAACAACCACUGGAAUUACCACUGUUGAUGUGUCUACUGAAGCCAAUCCAACAACCACUGGAAUUACCACUGUUGUCCACACAGUUUUCCUGCUCCGUGGGAGUGUGAUUGGGGUCCUGCUGGUUAUUGGAGUCCUUCUCCUGGUUGGGGUUGAGCUCCACACAAGAAGGAUCUUUGAGUUUAAAGGGCCAGAUACGCAGAUUGCAGAUGAAAAGCAUUCUGAUACGCCUAUAUACGAGAACGCCGGUGCUGAAGCUCAGAGAGAGGACGAGUUCUAGACACCAGAAACCAUCACGACUUGUCACUCCCACAAAUCCACAUGUGUUCGGUGUGUUAAUGUCAUUCUGUGGGAUGCUAAAGCAUUGCUGAUCAGGUUCGUCUGAGUAUCAUAUAUGUAGAGAUUGGUGUGAAAUAACGUAUUGUACUGUGUUAAAAAAAAAACA